CUUCAGCGAGCCGAGCAGUACGGGUGUGGCCCGGUCCUGUCCGUAGGUGGCGAGGAGGGCCUGGGCCUC
rnacentral:antisense_RNA from 1 species